rnacentral:rRNA from 1 species
GACGAACGCUGGCGGCGUGCCUAAUACAUGCAAGUUGAGCGAUGAAGAUUGGUGCUUGCCCCAAUUUGAAGAGCAGCGAACGGGUGAGUAACGCGUGGGGAAUCUGCCUUUGAGCGGGGGACAACAUUUGGAAACGAAUGCUAAUACCGCAUAACAACUUUAAACAUAAGUUUUAAGUUUGAAAGAUGCAAUUGCAUCACUCAAAGAUGAUCCCGCGUUGUAUUAGCUAGUUGGUGAGGUAAAGGCUCACCAAGGCGAUGAUACAUAGCCGACCUGAGAGGGUGAGCGGCCACAUUGGGACGGAGACACGGCCCAAACUCCUACAGGAGGCAGCAGUAGGGAAUCUUCGGCAAUGGACGAAAGUCUGACCGAGCAACGCCGCGUGAGUGAAGAAGGGUGUCGGAUCGUAAAACUCUGUUGGUAGAGAAGAACGUUGGUGAGAGUGGAAAGCUCAUCAAGUGACGGUAACUACCCAGAAAGGGACGGCUAACUACGUG